GCUGUGGAGAGUUAUACAAACGAAAGUAGCUAAGGCAAAAUCGGACUUUAUGAAGCAGCGA
ncrna:unclassified sequences RAGATH-18 RNA